rnacentral:snoRNA from 1 species
UCAUUGGGUUGGAAGAGAGAGGGUGAGUGUGUUGUGGAUCUGGUUGCGCGGGUGAGUCGGCGAGUGGGUGAGCGUUUCAAAGUGUGUGUGAAUGUUUGAUGGUUGUGAGUGCGACUGUUUGAAUUGGGGAAAAAAUAUAAAAACUACACCGUGAUCUUAUUUGAUCGAGUCGGGGUUCUGGUCCUGCUCCGACUUGAGAUGAUAAUACCCGACAUGCGAGCCGGUUCCUCCGGCGAUGUGCAUGAGGCAUGAUCGUUGCUUGCAGGGCCUUCACCACUACUUGUGGUUCAGAAAUGAUGAAUUGAUCAGAUAUACUAGAGCUGGGGAUGUCUCGGGGGGUUUACCCCUCGGGCUUUUCCUCGGCCUGUGAGUAUAGAGGCGAUUCUGAUCUGA